UACGAAGGGUGCAAGCGUUAUCCGGAUUCACUGGGUUUAAAGGGUGCGUAGGUGGGCUGGUAAGUCAGUGGUGAAAUCUCCGGGCUUAACUCGGAAACUGCCAUUGAUACUAUCAGUCUUGAAUACCGUGGAGGUCAGUAGAAUAUGUCAUGUAGCGGUGAAAUGCUUAGAUAUGACAUAGAAUACCAAUUGCGAAGGCAGCUGGCUACACGAAUAUUGACACUCAGGCACGAAAGCGUGGGGAUCAAACAGA
rnacentral:rRNA from 1 species